rnacentral:rRNA from 1 species
GAGGAAUAAGCAUCGGCUAACUCCGUGCCAGCAGCCGCGGUAAUACGGGGGAUGCAAGCGUUAUCCGGAAUCAUUGGGCGUAAAGCGCCUGUAGGUUGUUUAGUAAGUCUGUUGUUAAAGACUAAGGCUUAACCUUAGGAAAGCGAUGGAAACUACUAGACUUGAGUAUGGCAGGGGUAGAGGGAAUUUCUAGUGUAGCGGUGAAAUGCGUAGAUAUUAGAAAGAACACCAGCGGCGAAAGCGCUCUACUGGACCAUUACUGACACUCAGAGGCGAAAGCUAGGGGAGCAAAAGGGAUUAGAUACCCCUGUAGUCCUAGCCGUAAACGAUGGAUACUAGGUGUUGUGUAUACUAUACAGUGCCGUAGCUAACGCGUUAAGUAUCCCGCCUGGGGAGUACGCUCGCAAGGGUGAAACUCAAAGGAAUUGACGGGGGCCCGCACAAGCGGUGGAGCAUGUGGUUUAAUUCGAUGCAACGCGAAGAACCUUACCAGGGCUUGACAUACUGCAAAUCUUUUUUAAACGAAAGAGUGCCUUCGGGAAUGCAGAUACAGGUGGUGCAUGGCUGUCGUCAGCUCGUGUCGUGAGAUGUUGGGUUAAGUCCCGCAACGAGCGCAACCCUCGUUUUUAGUUACCAAUUUAUUGGAAUCUCUAGAAAGACUGCCGGUGACAAACCGGAGGAAGGUGAGGAUGACGUCAAGUCAGCAUGCCCCUUAUGUCCUGGGCCACACACGUGCUACAAUGGCAAAGACAAAGAGUCGCAAACCUGCAAAGGCUAGCUAAUCUCGGAAACUUUGUCUAAGUUCGGAUUGUAGGCUGCAACUCGCCUACAUGAAG